CCCUUAGAUGUUCUGGGCCGCACGCGCGCUACACUGACGGAGGCAGCGAGCAUGUCCUUCGCCGAGAGGUGUGGGGAAUCUUGUGAGUCUCCGUCGUGCUGGGGAUAGAUGGUUGCAAUUGUCGAUCUUGAACGAGGAAUUCCUAGUAAGCGCGAGUCAUCAGCUCGUGCUGAUUACGUCCCUGCCCUUUGUACACACCGCCCGUCGCUCCUACCGAUUGAGUGCUCAGGUGAAUAAUUCGGACUGCAGCAAUGUUUGGAUCCCGAACGUUGCAGCGGAAAGUUUAGUGAACCUUAUCACUUAGAGGAAGGAGAAGUCGUAACA
rnacentral:rRNA from 1 species